rnacentral:lncRNA from 1 species
ACGUAUAGUUGAUUUACAGUGUUGUGCCAAUUUCUGCUGUAUAGCAAAGUGACCCAGUCAUAGAUACAGACACAUUCCCUUCCUUGUACUAUCUUCCGUCGUGGCCUGUCCCAAGAGGCUGGAUAUAAUUCCCUGGCCUGUACAGUAGGACCUCCUUGCUUAUUCAUUUUAAAUGUAAUAGCCUGCAUCUACUAACCCCAAACUCCCAAUUGUUUGUAUCCCACACAGAACAACACAUUGAUAACUGCCAGUGAUGCCCAGGCCCCCCGGGGGAAGUCCCAGCUGGCAAGUUCCCCGAGGGUACUUUUCAAGGUUCCUCGUCCUGGAGGUCCUGACUCCCUCUUGUCUACCCUCCUCGUUUUUCGUCUGGGCAUUAGUCAUGAUGACUGAUCUUAACUCCCUGACUGGGCUCGGCUUUGUCUUGCUUCCACGCCUGCCUGAACAGGUUCUGUGCCUGCCACACUGUCCUCCCCCACCCAGAUCGGCCCUUCAGCUGCCUCUGAAAAUCCCCUGUAGCUCUGUUCAAAGGCUCCUCUCCAGGCUCUCCCUCCUCCCCCAACUCCUAACCUGUGCUGCUGCCAGUUCCCAUUUUACUUCUGCCGGGUUUUGCCUUCCAGCUUGGUCCCCAUUAGGAUGGUGUGUGGGUGUUAUUUUCCACUGGUUUUAAUUCUGUCUUUACACUUGAAUGCUGCCUGUGGGGGCUCCUUGAUUGCAAACUCUGAACACUGUGGGCCAGUACUAUCCCAUUUCACUCUACUUUUCAUCCUAAGUUCCUAGAACCCAAAUUGGAGUACACCAUUGCAAAUGUCCCCCCUUACCCAAGGGGAAAAAAAAGCUUUUCCAUGGACUUCCCUGGUGGCUCAGCGGGUUAAGAAUCUGAUGUCGUUACUGCUUGACUCUGGUUACUGCUGUGGAUCAGAUUUGGUCCCUGGCCUGGGAACUUCUGCAUGCCGUGGGCAUGGCCAAAAAAAAAACAAAAAACAAAAAACAAAAACAAAAAACAAAAAAACAAAACCCCAAAUAAAAAGCAAACAGCUCAUUUCCAGUAUCACCACUUUCUGGGUGCCCUCCUUGCCCUCCUAUAGGCAAAGGUACAUUUUUCCUGUUCUGUUGUCUCAUAAAACUACUGUAAUGGCUGUAAUUAUUGGUCUAGAUUUCUGUCUCUCCUUCUUGUUUGAGGUCAUAGAAGGAAUAUAUUAUCUUUAUCUCCCCAGCAGGUAACACAAGGCACAGUACCUCGGUAGACUACAAUGAUGUUUACUGGAUGCAUGAAUAAGUUAAUAAGCUAGAAAUAUUAAUUAAUAUGUGCUUUGUAAUAGAGUUUCCCGACUUAGUUUCUGAAUAUUAUACAAGAAUGGAAAGUGUUCCUACAAUGAAAUCAUGGGAGGAAUAGUUGUCAUUGAGCUCCCCCCAGUCCCUGCUCCCCCCCCACACUCCCAUCCCCCACUUCUACCCCCCAGUGUGGGCGCAGGAGACUCGCAGGAUAGCGAGAGCUUUUACUUACAAGAUGGAGCAGGAAGUGGCCUCUGACCCAGGGGUGAGAUGUCACGUUCACGCCCAGUCUCCAGAGGUCCACUAACCUAAGUUCUGUGAACAAUUCUAGGGCUAACUCCUAGGAAAAACACUGGAUAUUUACACAGCACAUUUUUCCCUAGUUUAAGCUAAAGAAGAAAAAAAAAAAAUGAAAAGAGGGGGAAAAGCCAAAAUUAAAUAAGCCAGCUGGUUUAACUUCUCUUUUUACAUAUUUUCCAUCGCAGUCCUCUCUUAGUCAUAAAGUCCUUCUCAACCAUUUCACGGCUUUUCCUUUGGCUGAAAUUUUUCAGUUUUUUUUCUCCAUUAAAAAAAAAUGCAGAAUGAAAGGUCGCGGAGAUUGUGACUUUUUUCUCUUUCUCUCCUCUGUCCUUCCCCCUCCCAGUGACACACACACACACACACACACACUCUCUCUCUCUCCAACUCCCAUCUUUCUUGAGGUGCAGAAAGUAGUAGACGUUCCUCCCCAGGGUCCCCGCCUGCCGGUGUCACACACCCCAUCCCGUCUACUCACAGGCAGGGCUUCCGAAGGAGCAAGAAGAACAGCUGCUGAGACACAAUAGUUCCUUACAGAGCCGGUAAAUAGACAAGGCCUCGUUUUCUUGACCUUCUCCGCCUCUGCUCGUUCUCAGA